rnacentral:rRNA from 1 species
AAUCAACGCUGGCGGCGUGCCUCAGACAUGCAAGUCGAACGAUUAAAGCUCUCUUCGGAGAGUGUAUAGAGUGGCGCACGGGUGAGUAACACGUAAGUAAUCUACCUUCGAGUGGGGAAUAACGUCCGGAACGGACGCUAAUACCGCAUAAUGCAGCGGCAUCGCAAGAUGACAGUUGUUAAAGAUUUAUCGCUUGAAGAGGAGCUUGCGGCAGAUUAGCUAGUUGGUAAGGUAACGGCUUACCAAGGCUACGAUCUGUAUCCGGUCUAAGAGGACGGUCGGACACACUGACACUGAAUAACGGGUCAGACUCCUACGGGAGGCAGCAGUCGGGAAUUUUGGGCAAUGGGCGAAANCCUGACCCAGCAACGCCGCGUGAAGGAUGAAGUA